UGAAGGCUUAGGAGUUCAUUUGCUUUUCAUCCCAUUUUGGGGAGGGGACUUUCCUAAUGCCUGUUCUGGCACAAGGUCUCUAGGAAACGGGUCUGCCUGAAAGGUGACGGUCAAAAGCAUCAACUACGCUGCACGUGGAGUUUGUAAGCCAGGACUGACUGGGUUCAAUUUCCCAGCAACCCUAAGUGAACCACUUCGCGGCCUCAGUUUUCCCAUCUGCUAAACAACAGGCGGUGGGACCAGAAGGGGCUAACGAUCUCCCCCAGCUUUGUUCUUCCUCGUCUCAUCAACUUGACCUGCAUGGACUUCUUUGUAGUCUUGGGUUGGUCCCUCUGUCCAUAAAUGGCCUUGCCGGGCCUGCCUUCUUAAAGCGUCUUUGAAAUCGUGA